UACACAAGAGGUUUUUAACUGAAUGUAGUU
rnacentral:piRNA from 1 species